rnacentral:snRNA from 1 species
GGAUGUGAGGCCCAGGUGAUGGCAACAUCUGUCACCCCAUUGAUCACCAGGGUUAAUCCUGCUUAUUUGACUGGGUAGAUAAGGGUCCCCUUCCUCCCUCACUGCUCCAUGUGCGUCCCCCAUUCAUUUGAAGAGAAUGACCAUCCUGAAUAGAGGAGGACCGUUCUUUGGUCCAGGGUAUAUGAGUAGCUGCGCUCCCCUGCUAGAACCUCCAAUCAAACUCUCAAAGUACUCAUGGAUAUUUGUUUUGUAUGUGAGUUUUAAUUCAAUACUAGCAUGCUUUCUUGCUAAAUUAUUUGGCCAAUAGAA